AGGGCACCACCAGGAGUGGAGCCUGCGGCUUAAUUUGACUCAACACGGGAAAACUCACCCGGCCCGGACACUGUAAGGAUUGACAGAUUGAUAGCUCUUUCUUAAUUCAGUGGAUGGUGGUGCAUGGCCGUUCUUAGUUGGUGGAUUGAUUUGUCUGCUUAAUUGCGAUAACGAACGAGACUCCACCUUACUAAAUAGACGGCGUAUCGAAACGUACGUCGAACUUCUUAGAGGGACAAGCGGCGUUUAGCCGCAUGAAACGGAGCAAUAACAGGUCUGUGAUGCCCUUAGAUGUCCGGGGCUGCACGCGCGCUACACUGAACGAAUCAGCGUGCGCGUUAGCCUGGUCCGGAAGGACUGGGUAACCCAAGUAAAUUCUUUCGUGCUUGGGAUAGGGAAUUGCAAUUAUUUCCCUUAAACGAGGAAUUCCCAGUAAAUGCGGGUCAUAAGCUCGCGUUGAUUACGUCCCUGCCCUUUGUACACACCGCCCGUCGCUACUACCGAUUGGAUGACUUAGUG
rnacentral:rRNA from 1 species